rnacentral:lncRNA from 1 species
AUGGCAAAGAAUGCAAUGGCAAUUGUGACCCAGGCUGUUGAUAACAGAGCAACAAACUCAGCCAGACAAGAAGCAUUACCAGAAGCUAGAGGAAAUCGGACAAAGAGAAGAAGCAAAGCUGAACAGUGAAGGGGCAUCUGGGAAAUUAUAGAACAAAAGAACGCACUAUGGAAAGAAAAAAACCUCUAGACGUACAUGUAUGGUAGAUAAAGUGUCAACUGAAGUGACACUGAAAAGGUUAGCUCAGCUCUUCUGAAAUGAUUUGUUCUUUUCCUAUCUCUGGUUUGAUCAGUCCACUCUUUUGCAAACACUUAAAAUAUAUAUUAAAAGAAAGGGUUCUUUGUGUGAAGAUAGGAAGUACAUGUAAGUGUUAAUGUGGAUUCUUUGAGCUUUACCAACACGGGAAAGUCUGAAGACAUUCUUUACCAUCAGUAAGACUUUUG